rnacentral:rRNA from 1 species
UACGUAGGGUGCGAGCGUUAAUCGGAAUUACUGGGCGUAAAGCGUGCGCAGGCGGUUUUGUAAGCCGGAUGUGAAAUCCCCGGGCUUAACCUGGGAAUGGCAUUCGGGACUGCAAGGCUGGAGUGCGGCAGAGGAGACUGGAAUUCCUGGUGUAGCAGUGAAAUGCGUAGAUAUCUGGAGGAACACCGGUGGCGAAGGCGGCAUCCUGGACCAACACUGACGCUGAGUGAGCGAAAGCCAGGGGAGCAAACGGG